rnacentral:misc_RNA from 1 species
UACGUAGGUGUCGAGCGUUAUCCGGAAUUACUGGGCGUAAAGCGCACGCAGGCGGUUAAGCAAGUCUGAUGUGAAAGCUCCCGGCUUAACUGGGAGAGGUCGUUGGAAACUGCUUAACUUGAGAGGAUGAGAGGGAGGCGGAAUUCCCGGUGUAGUGGUGGAAUGCGUAGAGAUCGGGAAGAACACCAGUGGCGAAAGCGGCCUCCUGGCAUUCGUCUGACGCUCAGGUGCGAAAGCGUGGGUAGCGAACGGG